rnacentral:misc_RNA from 1 species
UCUCCGUAGGUGAACCUGCGGAGGGAUCAUUACAGAGUUCAUGCCCUACCGGGUAGAUCUCCCACCCUAUGUUAUUAUUACUUUGUUGCUUUGGCGGGCCGUUAGGCUCCGGCCCGACUACCGGCCCCGGCUGGUAAGCGCCCGCCAGAGGACCCAAAACCCUGAAUAUUAGUGUCGUCUGAGUACUAUAUAAUAGUUCAAACUUUCAACAACGGAUCUCUUGGUUCUGGCAUCAAUGAAGAACGCAGC